rnacentral:rRNA from 1 species
GGCUCAGGACGAACGCUGGCGGCGUGCCUAAUACAUGCAAGUCGAGCGGACAGAAGGGAGCUUGCUCCCGGAUGUUAGCGGCGGACGGGUGAGUAACACGUGGGUAACCUGCCUGUAAGACUGGGAUAACUCCGGGAAACCGGAGCUAAUACCGGAUAGUUCCUUGAACCGCAUGGUUCAAGGAUGAAAGACGGUUUCGGCUGUCACUUACAGAUGGACCCGCGGCGCAUUAGCUAGUUGGUGGGGUAAUGGCUCACCAAGGCGACGAUGCGUAGCCGACCUGAGAGGGUGAUCGGCCACACUGGGACUGAGACACGGCCCAGACUCCUACGGGAGGCAGCAGUAGGGAAUCUUCCGCAAUGGACGAAAGUCUGACGGAGCAACGCCGCGUGAGUGAUGAAGGUUUUCGGAUCGUAAAGCUCUGUUGUUAGGGAAGAA